CAGACCAGCCUGUGAACUUUCUUUACUCAUGGAACCAGGUUAACUCCACAAUGUCAACAGGGAGAAAGAGGAGAGUCGAUAUAUCUGGACACAUUUCUCAUUUGACGUCGUGAAAUACAAGACGAUGUGUAAACCAUGUGGGGCGACGAUCUCGGGUAAAAACACAACACAUCUGAAACAUCUGGCACCGCUGGCAGUAUAAUGGCAACAUAACGGCACAGCUGCUUUUACGAACCUCCACUUUCAGGAUCAUGGUAAUUUGGAUCCAGUCCUUUAUCCAGAGCUUUACUGAUCUUCUCCACCGCUCCGGUCUGAACGUAGUCCAGAAACUUCUUCAGGUUGGUCUGUUUAUAAACCCGACUCUUGUACCUGAACUGUAACAGAACACAGAAAUACAGACGAGACGUGAACACACUCCAUCAUGAUCACGUCUCCAGAGGAUCCACGACCCCACACUCUAUACCACUCACUGAUCAGAAGAACUGCAUCAAGUACUGACAGGAAUCCCACUGGAAUGUUCAUAAUAAAUGUUCUUUACAGCCACGCUGAGCAGAAGAGCGUCUGAGAACACAUCGCAUCUUCUGAGGGUACAGUGGGUACAGGCUCACUGACACGCCCGGUGUCUCGCCCCCCUGGGUGAGUGUGGAACAGUAAUGCUGUAUGACCUGCAGAGACUAACCAUGCUGUCAGUCAUCUGUGCCUCCGUGCCCCCUGCUGGCUUAUAGAGGCAUGGCAGGUGGGCAUGACACUGUAAUCCACACCCCCUGCCAAUCUGUACAGCAGCCUGUCUGGUACCAACAACCAUGCCACCCUCAAAGUCCCUCUUUCUGUUACACUGGAGUAUAAGCAUGAGGUGACACAGUGGCUCUCAUUAUUUAUUUGGACGCCUGACCGAUCGAUCAGUCGAUGUUCCGGUUCAUCCCAGAUCUGUUGAGUGGGGCUGAGGUCAGGGUCUCUGUGCAGGACGCUGGAGUUCCUUCAUGUCUUUUUAGAGCUCACUCACGCUGGAACAGGAAAGGACCUUCCCUAAACUGUUGCUGCAAAGUGUAAAAAGGCCGUCACGCCAAGAGAGUCGGAAAGGCGAUGGUUUACAUUUUCAGCAUUUAGGAGACGCUUUUAUCCAAAGCGGCUUACAGUACUGAGACAGUAUACAGUCAGAGCAAGUGAGGGUUAAGGGCCUUACUCGAGGGCCCAACAGUCUGGCAGUGGUGGGGCUUGAACCAGCGACCUUUUGAUUACUAAUCCACUACCUUAACCGCUAGGAUACAGCUGAGACCAAGUCGACUUUCCAACCCAGGUGGAGCAGCGGGAUGUUCAGCUAACACACCAGCUCUGCUGCCGGUCGGCUGGGCGCCCCUAGCGGGCGCGAUCGGCAGUGGGUGGGAAAAGACGGGACUAAAAAGUGGGCGGGGUUUUCGAGGCCGUGUAAGGACUAUGGUUAGUAGCCCUGAAGUACGGGCGAAUAAGAAGGGAUCGGUGGAGCGCCCACACAUCAGAGGGAGGGCGUGUCAGGAGAAUGUACCCUCCUCGUACGCCAUCAGGGUCUCCGGCAGAGAGAGAGGAACUGGAUAUGACUAAACUGGGAGAAAAAUGGAAGAAAUGCAGAAAUAAAAUUAUUCUGUACACGACCAGACGAGCGCUGAAACUCCGGGUAACCCCCCCUCGCCCCUCGAACACCCCCCUCGCCACCACCAAAUCUCCCCGUAAGCCCUCGUUCUGAGAGCUGGAACGCUCGAGGGUUCGGCCAGAUGGAGCGAGAGAAGAAAAGCCUCCGAGAAACUCUGAGAAAUAAAAAGAGAGAGAGGAAACGGACUGACGGGGCGCAGUGGGAAAAAAAACAAUAAAAUAAUAAUAAUAAUAAUUCCAGACAGAGGGUCUCUGUGCAGCGCCAUCGAUCCGCCAGCAGAGGGCGU